rnacentral:rRNA from 1 species
CACGUAGGGUGCGAGCGUUGUCCGGAAUUAUUGGGCGUAAAGAGCUCGUAGGCGGUGUGUCGCGUCGGCCGUGAAAACCUGCAGCUUAACUGUGGGCUUGCGGUCGAUACGGGCAUCACUGGAGUUCGGCAGGGGAGACUGGAAUUCCUGGUGUAGCGGUGAAAUGCGCAGAUAUCUGGAGGAACACCGGUGGCGAAGGCGGCAUCCUGGACCGGUAUUGACGCUGAUGCACGAAGGCCAGGGGAGCAAACGGG